rnacentral:rRNA from 1 species
GAUGAACGCUGGCGGCGUGCCUAACACAUGCAAGUCGAGCGAACCCGUCGGGGUGAGCGGCUGUCGGGUGAGUAACGCGGGGGUAACCUGCCCUGUACACACGGACAACAUACCGAGAGGUAUGCUAAUACGAGAUAAUAUAUUUUAAUCGCAUGGCGAAGAUAUCAAAGUUCCGGCGGGACAGGAUGGGCCCGAGUCUGAUUAGCGAGUAGGUGAGGUAAUGGCUCAGCAAGGCGAAGAGCAGUAGCAGACCUGGGAGGGUGAUCGGCCACACUGGAGCUGAGACACGGGCGAGACUCCUACGGGAGGCAGCAGUGGGAAUAUUGCAAAAUGGGCGAAAGCAUGAUGCAGCAACGCCUCGUGAGCGAUGAAGGCCUUCGGGUAGUAAAGCUCUGUCCUAAAGGAAGAUAAUGACGGUACUUGAGGAGGAAGCCCCGGCUAACUACGUGCCAGCAGCCGCCGUAA